rnacentral:antisense_RNA from 1 species
UGUGGGAGCUGGCUUGCCUGCGAUGGCGGUGGUGAAUUCACUAUCGCUAUCGCAGGCAAGCCAGCUCCCACA